rnacentral:lncRNA from 1 species
UCCGCUUCUGCUGUCUUGAUGACGCACAGUGCUGGCGCAAGUCGUCUUGCGCCAGGCGACUGGGUCUGAGGAGGCAGGAGUUAUUCAUUCCCUUAAGCUUUCAGGCCGGGGGGAGAAUCUUUCAGGUGGUAGCUGCAAGAACUCUUAGUAUGUUGACCUCACCUCUGCCUUCCACAUACCACUACCAGUGAGGAAUUAGGAAUGCAUGAGAAGAGUGUCCAAGAAGAGUGUCCUCAUUCAUGCAAGGCUUAAGAGAGAAUGCAGGUCAACAUCACCAUGUCAAUCAGAGCGUAGUUUGGAACCAGCAGCAGCAGCAGCUCCCCAGACCUACUGAAUCAGAAUCU